rnacentral:rRNA from 1 species
AACGAACGCUGGCGGCAGGCCUAAAACAUGCAAGUCGAACGGGUGUAGCAAUACAUCAGUGGCGCACGGGUGAGUAACGCGUGGGAACAUGCCCCUUAGUACGGGACAACGUCGGGAAACUGACGCUAAUACCGUAUAAUAUCUCCGGAUCAAAGAUUUAUCGCUGAGGGAGUGGCCCGCGUCUGAUUAGCUAGUUGGUGAGGUAAUGGCUCACCAAGGCUACGAUCAGUAGCAGGUCUGAGAGGAUGAUCUGCCACACUGGGACUGAGACACGGCCCAGACUCCUACGGGAGGCAGCAGUUAGGAAUAUUGGACAAUGGGCGAAAGCCUGAUCCAGCCAUGCCGCGUGGGUGAUGAAGGCCUUAGGGUUGUAAAGCACUUUCGUUGGGGAUGAUAAUGACCGUACCCAAAGAAGAAGCACCGGCUAACUUCGUGCCAGCAGCCGCCGUAA